AUAUUAUUGACUCGGUUCUAAACAUCACCACGCUUCUGUUUGACUCGGUUUUAUUGCUGAAAUCGGAUUGUACUGGGCGGUGCUUGGCCGGGUUUUUUCAAUGAGGAGCACGGGAACGGCGUUUGCUCUGCAGAUACUCUGGAUCGAAGCCGUGAUGUUUGGAGUUGCGAGGAUUCGGAUUCUUUUUUCCCGCUGAUCACCUCGCUGUUAUGGUCCAUGGAAUCUUAGGGAGUACGGAGGAUUGGAAGUUUGGAGCUGAGCAAUUAGUCAGAAGGCUCAGCGAUAACGUGUUUGUUUCACUGUAAGCAGUCCCUUUUCCUUAGUUCUUGGUGUGACAUUUGCUAGUAGGAAGAGCAAUGAAUGUGCUAAUUGUGUUUAGGAUUUGGCUAUCUCUGUCUUGCUUGCUGAUUUGUGUUGUACUUGCAUUUAGUGGAUCCAAUUGUAAAUUAUAUCAGUUGUAAAUCCCAUUUGUUAUCAACUUAUGACUGCAAGAAAGUCACAUGCAUUAUUUGCCGCGAAA